UUUGAGAAAAGUGAAUGUCAAGGAGUCAAAAAAAACAUCAUUCAAGUUGAUAACAUGGUUGCAAAAGAAAAGGUUGCUGCAAAGAAAAGUGAAAUGCAAAAACUGCAGACACAAAAUGAAGAUGGUCUACUACACACAGUCCACAGACCUCCACAUCUGGGAGUGCCGUCGUAAAAGAUGUGGACGUUUGAGGAGAAGUGUAAGGACCAAGUCUCUUUUCUCAAACUCACACUGUAGUCUCUUCACAUGGAUGAAGUACAUUCACAGAUUUGCACAGGGUUUGCAGCUACGGCAGGUAGACAUGCUUCAGGAUGGCAUCACUAAAAGCAC
ensembl:lncRNA